rnacentral:rRNA from 1 species
UACGUAGGGGCCUAGCGUUGUCCGGAUUUAUUGGGCGUAAAGAGCUCGUAGGCGGUUCGGUAAGUCAGGUGUGAAAUCUCCACGCUCAACGUGGAGGCGCCACCUGAAACUGCCGUGACUCGAGUCCGGUAGGGGAGUGUGGAAUUCCUGGUGUAGCGGUGAAAUGCGCAGAUAUCAGGAGGAACACCGGUGGCGAAGGCGGCGUUCUGGACUGCAUCUGACACUGAAAGACGAAAGCCAGGGGAGCAAACGGG